UAAAAGACAAACUAAUUGUAAAGAUCAACAGAUUUCCUCCACUGAAUCAUGCAGCAGGCAGUAUAUAUGUCAGUGCAUCCAGUUCACUAGUCGUCAUUCCAACUUCAAUUUUAUUAGCAAGAUUAAAAGGUUACUUUUAUGCUUUGGUGCCUCCAAUAAUAAAAAAAAUGAAAAAAGAAACUUCCCCUUGUCCAGAACAGCUACACAACAGAGUGAAGUUGAAAUUUUAAUUAGCCUGUCUAUGUCAUGACACUCAUUCUUAACAUCCUAAGACAAUAAACUAUCUUUAUGUAAAUAAAUUUUGACUAGCCUGUCUAUCUUUAUCUAAAUAAAUCAACUAGUCAAAAUUUUAGGGUCAUCAACUUUUAGGGCAGGUAUUGACCAAAGAUUGUUAGCAUGACAUUAGUUUAAAUUUUAAAAU
rnacentral:lncRNA from 1 species